rnacentral:lncRNA from 1 species
CGAGAGGCGGCCUCGAGCACGGAGGGGACGCGGGGGCCGGAGGGAAGGACGGUUCCCGGCAGCGAGCAGUCUCCGCCCCACAGCUCCGACAGCCCCCCCCCCCGCCACCACCACUCUCUCCCACGUCCCCUUUCUAUCUCCGCCGCGCUGGGUUCGGCGGCGGCGCGGGGCCUGGAAUCCCCACCGCGCCCUGUCCCCGCAGUCCUCACCUCCGGCGGGGAGGUGGCGCGCCCCGGGGCGCAGAGAGAGGCCGGAUCCGACGGGCGCCGCCGAGGGGCCGUGAGGGAGCGCGGGGCCGCCCCUAGCUGGCCGCGGGGCCGGGCGCCGAAGCGGCUGCCAUGCGAGCCGAGCGCUCGGGAAUCUGGGGCUCCAGGCGACCCCGAGCGGCGGCAGCGGCUGCUCCUCGCGCGCGCUCAGGCCCCCUGCCAGGGGCGGAGCCCGCCCCCACCCCCAUCCCCCCCCCCGCGACGCACGGCGCACACCUAGCACCCGGCGCGCCCCGGGGCCCCGGCCCUCCGCGGCUACCCAACGCCCCGAACCCAGCUUCCUUCCAAGAGAGGAGGAAAUCUUAGGAGUCUCAAUGGGAGCAAACUAUUAAGCCAAAGGAGCGCAACCCCGUUAUUCUCUCAUCUCCCAUGCCCACUUUCCCGACCAGCGCUCCGCGGCCCACGCCCCAGCCCUGCCUUCGCUUGUCCGCCGCUCAUCACGCUUCUCAUAUAGAUCUAUGCACACGCAGGCAAUCGCUCCCCGCCCUCCGCCUGUCACCAGCCCACGCCUCCCCGCUUGUAAAGCCUUCAUCACCUGCUUCAUCUGUGUGCUCCUCUGCUCCUCCUCGCCCUCCGCUUCUUCCUGUCCACGUUGCCGUCUCCAGCCUUCCAAGAUCAACCUAUCCCUAUAUAAAUAUCAACCCGAUCCACCCAACCACACCCCGGCCCUACCCCCACCACCCUUCCCUCCCUCAAGUCUCAGCCCUUCCACCCCAUUCCUUUUUGUGACUGCCUCUGAGAAUCCUUUCUGGACUGGGAAUGCCCCUGACUCUGUAAAUGUGCACACAAAACCCCCUCCACCGCCAAGUCUUCUCCUGUACCCCAUCACGUUCGUCCUUGGCCUCAGGCUAAACCUCAACUGCCCAAACCUGGAGCUCAGAUUCAGAGAGUAACGGAGGGGGAGUGGGGGAAAGCUGCCCUCCAGGCCUCUUUGCCCCCUUCUGGCUAAUGGCUCAGAGACACAUUUCAAGACAAGGACCCAGCCAAGCUCGGUGGGCUCACGCCUAUAAUUCCAGCACUUUGGGAGGCUGAGGCGGGCGGAUCACCUGAGGUCAGGAGUUCGAGACCAGCCUGGCCAACAUGGUGAAACCCGUCUCUAUUAAAAAUACAGAAAUUAGCCAGGCGUGGUGGUGCGCGCCUGUAAUCCCAGCUACUCGGAAGGCUGAGGCAGGAAAAUCGCUUGAAAACCCGGGAGGCAGACGUUGCAGUUAGCCAAGAUCGCGCCACUGCACUCCAGCUUGGGGGACAGAGCAAAACUCCGACCCCCGCCCCCCCCCAAAAAAAGACAAGGACCCAGAACAUAAUUUCUAGUUUGUGCAGGACAACAGGGCAGAGGUCAGGAACGCUAGCGCCCAUCUCUAGUCCUUCAGAUUGAGAUUUCACCAUCUUUAAAUUCAAAACAUCGGAAGGAGCAGUCGCUAGUCGGGGCAGAGCAGCUUCCCACCUUCACACAGCCACCUCCACAGGCACAGAGCCCCAGGGCUCAUUUUUCCUGCAGUCUCCAUUGGAUAUAACACUUACACCCACUCAGCUCCCUAGCUGGCCUCCUCUCAGCUGUGAUCGCCUCUUCCCUGAAGAGCUCUCUGAAUUUGAGUAAUGACAUGGCUGUACCAUUCAUUUUGUUUAAACACAUUUUUUUUUUUGGUGAAAAAUUGCAAACAACCUAUAAUUCAAAAAUUACUGUAGGCAAAUAAAUUAUGGCACAUCAACACUAUGUGACUGUUAAAAAUACUUUUUUUUUUUUUUGACGUCUAAAGAUGUCCAAAAAAGCUAAGAAUAUGUAAAGUGCGGUGGGGGGAAGCCGGAAACAAAGAAGAACGUACUUUGACAUUGGCAGUGCUUUUCUCUGGAUGAUCGAAUUAUAGAGGUUUUUUUUUUUUUCUUAUUAAUACUUUUCAGCAUUAACACUUUUUUUUUUUUUUUUUUUUUUUUUUUUGAGACGGAGUCUCGCUUUGUGGCCCAAGCUGGAGUGCAGUGGCGCUAUCUCGGCUCUCUGCAAGCUCCGCCUCCCAGGUUCACGCCAUUCUCCUGCCUCAACGUCCCAAGUAGCUGGGACUACAGGCGCC